GGUGCUGCCAUGACUAUAUGCAGCCAUUUCCGGCUGGUAUGAUGAAGGCUUUCGGGUUGUAAAGUUCUUUCAGCGGGAGGAAGGCGAUGCGGUAAUAACGGCGUCGAUUGACGUUACCCGCAGAAGAAGCACCGGGCUAACUCCGUGCCAGCAGCCGCGGUAAUACGAGGGUGCAAGCGUUAAUCGGAAUUACUGGGCGUAAAGCGCACGCAGGCGGUCUGUCAAGUCGGAUGUGAAAUCCCCGGGCUCAACCUGGGAACUGCAUCCGAAACUGGCAGGCUUGAGUCUCGUAGAGGGGGGUAGAAUUCCAGGUGUAGCGGUGAAAUGCGUAGAGAUCUGGAGGAAUACCGGUGGCGAAGGCGGCCCCCUGGACGAAGACUGACGCUCAGGUGCGAAAGCGUGGGGAGCAAACAGGAUUAGAUACCCUGGUAGUCCACGCCGUAAACGAUGUCGACUUGGAGGUUGUGCCCUUGAGGCGUGGCUUCCGGAGCUAACGCGUUAAGUCGACCGCCUGGGGAGUACGGCCGCAAGGUUAAAACUCAAAUGAAUUGACGGGGGCCCGCACAAGCGGUGGAGCAUGUGGUUUAAUUCGAUGCAACGCGAAGAACCUUACCUGGUCUUGACAUCCACAGAACUUUGCAGAGAUGGAUUGGUGCCUUCGGGAACUGUGAGACAGGUGCUGCAUGGCUGUCGUCAGCUCGUGUUGUGAAAUGUUGGGUUAAGUCCCGCAACGAGCGCAACCCUUAUCCUUUGUUGCCAGCGGUCCGGCCGGGAACUCAAAGGAGACUGCCAGUGAUAAACUGGAGGAAGGUGGGGAUGACGUCAAGUCAUCAUGGCCCUUACGACCAGGGCUACACACGUGCUACAAUGGCGCAUACAAAGAGAAGCAAUCUCGCGAGAGCUAGCGGACCUCAUAAAGUGCGUCGUAGUCCGGAUUGGAGUCUGCAACUCGACUCCAUGAAGUCGGAAUCGCUAGUAAUCGUGAAUCAGAAUGUCACGGUGAAUACGUUCCCGGGCCUUGUACACACCGCCCGUCACACCAUGGGAGUGGGUUGCAAAAGAAGUAGGUAGCUUAACCUUCGGGAGGGCGCUUACCACUUUGGAUUACGGU
rnacentral:rRNA from 1 species